rnacentral:lncRNA from 1 species
UUUUUUUGAAUUUGUAUCGUAAUGGAAAAUAUAAUUGUAGAAAGUGAUAGUGAAACAAAAAAAGAAUGUUGGAAUGGUAAAAAAACUGCCACACAAAUUGCAAUCGAUUGUGAGGCUACAGAAGUGUUUUUGGGAUUGUUGAAAAAAAAAUUGGGAAACAUUGAAUGAUUCCAAGACAAGUAAAAGGCAAAUUUGGCAUGAAAUUUGCAGUAACUUGGAAGAAGCAGGAUUUUGUAUUCGUGGAGUUGACAAAAUCCAGACAUGUAAAAACAAGUGGGAAAACCUACGCAAGGAUUAUAGAAAUUAUAUAUCCAAAUUUCAGCAAACAGGAAGCGGUGCAAAUGAUACCCAAAAGAAGCCCAAGUUCUUUGAUUCCAUCGAAGCAGUAAUAGGCUCCAGCAAUCAUUCCUUUCGACCUCCUUAUGUGAGUGAUUCACUAUACCACAAUCCUCACAAGUUCAAAGUUGGUGAAGAUCGGGAAGGUGAAAUUAAAAAGACGGCUAAUGAUUCAAAUAAUUCGUCACUUUGUGGAGUUGGCCUGUGCGUUUUACUAAAAAAGAUACUUAAAGGGGACGAAGCCCGAAUAAAUCGAGAAAAA